UACGUAGGGUGCGAGCGUUGUCCGGAAUUACUGGGCGUAAAGAGCUCGUAGGUGGUUUGUCGCGUUGUUCGUGAAAUCUCACGGCUUAACUGUGAGCGUGCGGGCGAUACGGGCAGACUAGAGUACUGCAGGGGAGACUGGAAUUCCUGGUGUAGCGGUGGAAUGCGCAGAUAUCAGGAAGAACACCCGUGGCGAAGGCGGCUCUCUGGGACGGUACUGACGCUGAGACGCGAAAGCGUGGGGAGCGAACAGG
rnacentral:rRNA from 1 species